UCAGGACAAUCCGAUUUGCACGAAUGUCUUCUCGGUGUAAGGGAGAUGCUGGUCUGACUGAGCUAUGUCCUG
rnacentral:tRNA from 1 species